AUCUAUAAGCGUACUGUGGGAGUUCAAUCAACGUGUUCCAUAAGUAAAACCCGAAAAUGCUCAUACUUCUUUCUCUCUAGUCUGAUGGCCUGAUGGUUUUUAAUACUACUUCGAAUCGGUUUGAAUGGUUUAUAAGUCGCGUAUAGUAAGGAUCAUCGCGUAUAAGGUAAGGUCAUGCAAAACAAGGCUGUUUCUCACUUCUAACAGGAACUGCACUCGAUCGACGGAUAUACGAAGGGAAGCCUAUAGCGACAUUUCGUUAUUCUAAUGUUUAACUGUGGCUGAUCCAUUGAGGAAUUCGGAAGAUCUAUGCUAUUCAGGUUUAGAAAAAAUUAAAGAACAACGAAAACGAUAGGACUGCGUUAUACAGUGAUCGGUCCAUGUCGGGAAACAAAGCUCUACUCUGUGAAUUCUGCGGACUGAUCAGUGCCGUUACAAAAAUUAGAAUACUAUGUUGGGCAAAUGUGUACCCAAGUUUCCUCGACCAAGAUCGCCUUGUCAGAUUAAAGAACUUGUCGAAAACAAAUUCACCGCGGUGAACUUUACGCGAUACCAAUGCGACAGGGAAAACGCAGUUCCUUAAAAAUCUUCAUGUUAAUCUGUUAACUGAGUAUCGCAGUUUUGAUCAGAGACGACUGACCCCUUCGUGUCAGGCUACAUUACGUACUGCAUGCGACCGGCUUCGCAGCAAUAAGUUGAAAGGAACUUGGAGUUUUUGAAAACCUAUGUUUUUCUGAAAAGUGUUUUGCUUAUUUGCUUGAUAACCAUGCGACGCAGUAAAAUUAUGUGGCUAACACAAUUAUUCUGCGGUUUUUUCUUAAGGGGAACGCCAUGCUCAUCAACGGGAUCAAGUGGCGAUCGUCGAGUUGGCUCGAAAUUUUGCCAGCGUAACGUAUACUUGAAUAUGUGCAUCUCAAGUGUUUCGUGUGGCCUUCUUCCAGGAAUACAUCCAGCUGCCCAAGCAUACAAAUCACGUCAUUGAUCGGUGUCAGAACUGAAUUGCAUUGGGUGCAUCUAACGUUAGGCAAACACAAUGGCUGUCAUCUCUCCUGGAUCUGUAUAGUGUGCUUCAUUGAACUCGAUACGAAUCGGUAGCUCCGCGCUAUACGGGGAGAGCUUCGAACGUUCGCGCUGCCUACGGCGAAUCCGGCUGGGGCCUUCCUUCUCUAAACUAUGCGACCUUCAGAUGUUAUUACGGACGGUAGUAGCUAUAAUGGAACACCUGGAAUAAGGCUAUUUAGGAGCACACCCUUAAGCUCAGAACGUGUACGCGACUAUGGGAACAGAGCAGAUUAGUCUGAUAUGCAAUGCGUCAAAUUAUAGAUAUUAUUGUCCUGAAUUUCAC